rnacentral:rRNA from 1 species
UACGUAGGGGGCGAGCGUUGUCCGGAUUCAUUGGGCGUAAAGGGCGCGUAGGCGGCUAGAUGUGUCAAAGGUGAAAUCCCUCGGCUCAACUGAGGAACUGCCUUUGAAACUGUCUGGCUUGAGGCCGGGAGAGGGUAGCGGAAUUCCCAGUGUAGCGGUGAAAUGCGUAGAUAUUGGGAGGAACACCAGUGGCGAAGGCGGCUACCUGGACCGGUUCUGACGCUGAGGCGCGAAAGCGUGGGUAGCAAACAGG